AAAGAUCGGAGUGCUUGCACUCUGUGAAACAAGAUACAGGCUAGCGGCGGACGGGUGAGUAACACGUGGGGUAACCUGCCCAAGAGAUCGGGAUAACACCUGGAAACAGAUGCUAAUACCGGAUAACAACAGAUGAUGCCUAUCAACUGUUUAAAAAAGAUGGUUCUGCUAUCACUCUUGGAUGGACCUGCGGUGCAUUAGCUAGUUGGUAGGGUAACGGCCUACCAAGGCGAUGAUGCAUAGCCGAGUUGAGAGACUGAUCGGCCACAUUGGGACUGAGACACGGCCCAAACUCCUACGGGAGGCAGCAGUAGGGAAUCUUCCACAAUGGACGCAAGUCUGAUGGAGCAACGCCGCGUGAGUGAAGAAGGGUUUCGGCUCGUAAAGCUCUGUUGUUGGUGAAGAAGGACAGGGGUAGUAACUGACCUUUGUUUGACGGUAAUCAAUUAGAAAGUCACGGCUAACUACGUGCCAGCAGCCGCGGUAAAU
rnacentral:rRNA from 1 species